CCUGCCCCUAGAAGUCUUGCAGGUUUGACUGUUGUGUUACAUGUUGGUCAGUAGGUGGCAAAGAGGAGAUCCUAUGCCUGAGCUCAGUGUUCUGACCUAUCACAACGUCUGAAUGAUUAGUAGCCUGACAGU